GACGAACGCUGGCGGCGUGCUUAACACAUGCAAGUCGAGCGGUAAGGCCCUUUCGGGGGUACACGAGCGGCGAACGGGUGAGUAACACGUGGGUGACCUGCCCUCAGCUCUGGGAUAAGCCUGGGAAACCGGGUCUAAUACUGGAUAUGACUCCAUGACGCAUGUUGUGGGGUGGAAAGCCUUGUGCGGCUGAGGAUGGGCCCGCGGCCUAUCAGCUUGUUGGUGGGGUGAUGGCCUACCAAGGCGACGACGGGUAGCCGGCCUGAGAGGGCGACCGGCCACACUGGGACUGAGACACGGCCCAGACUCCUACGGGAGGGCAGCAGUGGGGAAUCUUGCGCAAUGGGCGAAAGCCUGACGCAGCGACGCCGCGUGAGGGAUGACGGCCUCGGUGUAACUAC
rnacentral:rRNA from 1 species